rnacentral:rRNA from 1 species
UACGUAGGGCGCAAGCGUUAUCCGGAAUUAUUGGGCGUAAAGAGCUCGUAGGUGGCUUGUCACGUCGGGUGUGAAAGCUUGGGGCUUAACUCCAGGUCUGCAUUCGAUACGGGCUGGCUAGAGGUAGGUAGGGGGAGAACGGAAUUCCUGGUGUAGCGGUGAAAUGCGCAGAUAUCAGGAGGAACACCGGUGGCGAAGGCGGUUCUCUGGGCCUUACCUGACGCUGAGACGCGAAAGCGUGGGGAGCGAACAGG